GUGGGGAAUCUUGCGCAAUGGGCGAAAGCCUGACGCAGCCAUGCCGCGUGAAUGAUGAAGGUCUUAGGAUUGUAAAAUUCUUUCACCGGGGACGAUAAUGACGGUACCCGGAGAAGAAGCUCCGGCUAACUUCGUGCCAGCAGCCGCGGUAAUACGAAGGGGGCUAGCGUUGCUCGGAAUUACUGGGCGUAAAGGGCGCGUAGGCGGACAGCUUAGUCAGAGGUGAAAGCCCAGGGCUCAACCUUGGAAUUGCCUUUGAUACUGGCUGUCUUGAGUUUGGGAGAGGUGAGUGGAACUCCGAGUGUAGAGGUGAAAUUCGUAGAUAUUCGGAAGAGCACCAGUGGCGAAGGCGACUAACUGGCCCAAUACUGACGCUGAGGCGCGAAAGCGUGGGGAGCAAACAGGAUUAGAUACCCUAGUAGUCC
rnacentral:rRNA from 1 species